GCCCGGUUAGCUCAAUCGGUAGAGGUUAGUUCACUAAUUCCAUCUGAAUAAUGGAUCUUAACUAAUCCAAAAUAGCGUGAGACUCUUAAUCUCAAGGUUGCGGGUUCGACCCCCGCAUCGGGCU